GGGUGAGUAACACGUGGGCAAUCUGCCCUGCACUCUGGGACAAGCCCUGGAAACGGGGUCUAAUACCGGAUACGACACUCUCGGGCAUCCGAUGAGUGUGGAAAGCUCCGGCGGUGCAGGAUGAGCCCGCGGCCUAUCAGCUUGUUGGUGAGGUAAUGGCUCACCAAGGCGACGACGGGUAGCCGGCCUGAGAGGGCGACCGGCCACACUGGGACUGAGACACGGCCCAGACUCCUACGGGAGGCAGCAGUGGGGAAUAUUGCACAAUGGGCGAAAGCCUGAUGCAGCGACGCCGCGUGAGGGAUGACGGCCUUCGGGUUGUAAACCUCUUUCAGCAGGGAAGAAGCGAAAGUGACGGUACCUGCAGAAGAAGCGCCGGCUAACUACGUGCCAGCAGCCGCGGUAAUACGUAGGGCGCAAGCGUUGUCCGGAAUUAUUGGGCGUAAAGAGCUCGUAGGCGGCUUGUCACGUCGGUUGUGAAAGCCCGGGGCUUAACCCCGGGUCUGCAGUCGAUACGGGCAGGCUAGAGUUCGGUAGGGGAGAUCGGAAUUCCUGGUGUAGCGGUGAAAUGCGCAGAUAUCAGGAGGAACACCGGUGGCGAAGGCGGAUCUCUGGGCCGAUACUGACGCUGAGGAGCGAAAGCGUGGGGAGCGAACAGGAUUAGAUACCCUGGUAGUCCACGCCGUAAACGGUGGGCACUAGGUGUGGGCGACAUUCCACGUCGUCCGUGCCGCAGCUAACGCAUUAAGUGCCCCGCCUGGGGAGUACGGCCGCAAGGCUAAACUCAAAGGAAUUGACGGGGCCCGCACAAGCGGCGGAGCAUGUGGCUUAAUUCGACGCAACGCGAAGAACCUUACCAAGGCUUGACAUACACCGGAAACAUCCAGAGAUGGGUGCCCCCUUGUGGUCGGUGUACAGGUGGUGCAUGGCUGUCGUCAGCUCGUGUCGUGAGAUGUUGGGUUAAGUCCCGCAACGAGCGCAACCCUUGUCCCGUGUUGCCAGCAGGCCCUUGUGGUGCUGGGGACUCACGGGAGACCGCCGGGGUCAACUCGGAGGAAGGUGGGGACGACGUCAAGUCAUCAUGCCCCUUAUGUCUUGGGCUGCACACGUGCUACAAUGGCCGGUACAAUGAGCUGCGAUACCGCGAGGUGGAGUGAAUCUCAAAAAGCCGGUCUCAGUUUGGAUUGGGGUCUGCAACUCGACCCCAUGAAGUCGGAGUCGCUAGUAAUCGCAGAUCAGCAUUGCUGCGGUGA
rnacentral:rRNA from 1 species